ensembl:lncRNA
GUGCACUGUCUUUUGAGAUAGGAAAUGGAUGAUCCUUCUGGAUUCUUUGGAACCCAGACAAACCAUCAAAUCUGAGGGCUACAUUGUGACACUGACUAAGAUGCAGACUGGAACUUCCAGAGUCAGGCCAGAGAAGAAGACAACUUUCCUCUUACAAUACAGUAACUCUUGGCCCUAUGCCAGUUUGAAGACCAUUGGGGCACAUUGCCAAUUUUGGCUGGACUAUCCUAUCACACCCCCUAUAUAGUUUGGAUUUGGCUUCUCCUGAUUUCCAUCUGUGGGGGCCAAUGAAAAACGGACGGUGUGGGCCAAUGAAAGAUGGACUGUGCGAGCAACGAUGCCAUCAUAGCAACUGUGAAACAGUAGGUCAUCUCCUCCGGUACUGAUUUUUACAAGCAUUAUUGUCUGUCCUGCUUAUUUUGAAUGUCAGCUAACCUUCUUUUCCACUGUGUAUAUAUACAGAGGUUUUUUUUUUAGUAUGAAUAGAGGAAGCACUUAAUUCUACUGAAGGGCGCUUUGGUAUUAUCAUUACAAGGAGAUUUUGUGGAGAUGUGAUUGCUUUGAGUGUCUUGACAGCUCAGAUAUUCAGAUGGCUGUGGUAAGUUGGUGUUCGUUUUUGAUAUACACUAUUACAGUUAUUCAUGCCACUGCUAACUUCAGGUUAAUCUGCUGUAACAUGGCCUGUACUAGUCCUUUCUGUACAGGUAGACAGUUCAGAGUCUUUUGCUGAUGUACAGCACAAUGUACUGCUUGUUAAAUUGAUACAAGUGGGUGACCUCUGUGCUUCAACUUCUUUAACAGUUUCCUGUUCCUUUAGAGACAUCAUUAAAAGCAGAGAUUACUUUCUUUAAAGGCCUAAAUAUGACAGCACUGGCCUCAUUUUCAGGCACACUACUCCGUGAGUAAAUUCUAUCUGUCUUCAGUAUUAGAGAGCAUUUUACAGGAGAUCACUGAUUCAGAGUCCUAUAAUAAACUAAUUAUAUUAAUGUUGGAGAUGCUAGAGGACAAAUGAUGAUACAAAAAUAAAUUUGUCAUAAAGC